GUGUCUUCAGAGACUGAGAGGUAGAGAGACACACUGUCAAGGUGACAGGUAUCCUAGUGGUUUAGAGACUGAGAGGUACAGAGACACACUGUCAAGGUGACAGGUAUCCUAGUGGUUUAGAGACUGAGAGGUACAGAGACACACUGUCAAGGUGACAGGUAUCCUAGUGGUUUAGAGACUGAGAGGUACAGAGACACACUGUCAAGGUGACAGGUAUCCUAGUGGUUUAGAGACUGAGAGGUAUAGAGACACACUGUCAAGGUGACAGGUAUCCUAGUGGUUUAGAGACUGAGAGGUAGAGAGACACACUGUCAAGGUGACAGGUAUCCUAGUGGUUUAGAGACUGAGAGGUAUAGAGACACACUGUCAAGGUGACAGGUAUCCUAGUGGUUUAGAGACUGAGAGGUAUAGAGACACACUGUCAAGGUGACAGGUAUCCUAGUGGUUUAGAGACUGAGAGGUACAGAGACACACUGUCAAGGUGACAGGUAUCCUAGUGGUUUAGAGACUGAGAGGUACAGAGACACACUGUCAAGGUGACAGGUAUCCUAGUGGUUUAGAGACUGAGAGGUACAGAGACACACUGUCAAGGUGACAGGUAUCCUAGUGGUUUAGAGACUGAGAGGUAUAGAGACACACUGUCAAGGUGACAGGUAUCUUAGUGGUUUAGAGACUGAGAGGUACAGAGACACACUGUCAAGGUGACAGGUAUCCUAGUGGUUUAGAGACUGAGAGGUACAGAGACACACUGUCAAGGUGACAGGUAUCUUAGUGGUUUAGAGACUGAGAGGUACAGAGACACACUGUCAAGGUGACAGGUAUCCUAGUGGUUUAGAGACUGAGAGGUAUAGAGACACACUGUCAAGGUGACAGGUAUCCUAGUGGUUU